rnacentral:rRNA from 1 species
GAUGAACGCUGGCGGCGUGCCUAAUACAUGCAAGUCGAGCGAACGGACGAGAAGCUUGCUUCUCUGAUGUUAGCGGCGGACGGGUGAGUAACACGUGGGUAACCUACCUAUAAGACUGGGAUAACUUCGGGAAACCGGAGCUAAUACCGGAUGAUAUUUUGAACCGCAUGGUUCAAAAGUGAAAGACGGUCUUGCUGUCACUUAUAGAUGGAUCCGCGCUGCAUUAGCUAGUUGGUAAGGCAACGGCUUACCAAGGCAACGAUGCAUAGCCGACCUGAGAGGGUGAUCGGCCACACUGGAACUGAGACACGGUCCAGACUCCUACGGGAGGCAGCAGUAGGGAAUCUUCCGCAAUGGGCGAAAGCCUGACGGAGCAACGCCGCGUGAGUGAUGAAGGUCUUCGGAUCGUAAAACUCUGUUAUUAGGGAAGAACAUAUGUGUAAGUAACUGUGCACAUCUUGACGGUACCUAAUCAGAAAGCCACGGCUAACUACGUG